rnacentral:lncRNA from 1 species
AAAAAUUUAUGAUAAAAGAGAUGAUUUUUCAUUUCCUAUCGUUAAUUAUCCAUUUUUAGAUGCUGAUGUUCCCUUGUCACCAUCUUAUGGUGUUUGUAUAUCUCAACUUGAACGAUUCGCUCGUGUAUGUAACAACGUAUUCGAUUUUAGCGAGAGAAAUUUAUGUAUUACUGAAAAAUUAUUACACCAGGGUUUUCGAUAUCACAAAAUAGUCAAAAUAUUUACUAAAUUUUAUCAUCGGUAUAAGGAAAUAAUUCGUAAAUAUAACUCAACAUGCAGACA